UACAGAGGGUGCGAGCGUUAAUCGGAAUUACUGGGCGUAAAGCGCACGUAGGCGGCUUGGUAUGUCGGGUGUGAAAUCCCCGGGCUCAACCUGGGAACUGCGUCCGAAACUGCCUUGCUCGAGUAUGGGAGAGGGAAGUGGAAUUUCCGGUGUAGCGGUGAAAUGCGUAGAUAUCGGAAGGAACAUCAGUGGCGAAGGCGACUUCCUGGACCAAUACCGACGCUCAGGUGCGAAAGCGUGGGGAGCAAACAGG
rnacentral:rRNA from 1 species